AUGGAGCGGGUGUCCGAGCUGCUUUCCUGGACGCUGAGCAGAGUCCUGUGACUUUCAGGCCUCUCUGAGCCAGGAGCUGCCCGGCAGCCCCGGAUCAUGGAAGAGAAAGCGCCAGAGGUUUAUGAUUUGAUUCGGACCAUCCGGGACCCAGAAAAGCCCAAUACUUUAGAAGAACUGGAAGUGGUAACGGAGAGCUGUGUGGAGGUUCAGGAGAUAAAUGAAGAAGACUAUCUGGUUAUCAUCAGGUUCACGCCAACAGUACCUCAUUGCUCUUUGGCAACUCUUAUUGGGCUGUGCUUAAGAGUAAAACUUCAGCGGUGUUUGCCAUUUAAACACAAGUAUUGAUUGGAAAUCUACAUCUCUGAAGGAACCCACUCAACAGAAGAAGACAUCAACAAGCAGAUAAAUGAUAAAGAGCAAGUGGCAGCUGCGAUGGAGAACCCCAACUUACGGGAAAUUGUGGAACAGUGUGUCCUUGAACCUGACUGAGAGUUGCUUUAAGAGCCACUGAACUGUAAUUGUUUGAUAUUUUUGUUUAAACUCUUUGUAAAAUGUAAAAACUCAUGUUUAAUAUAUAGGUGAUUUGUACCUCAAAACAUUUUUAAGGAAUUAUUUCUAAGCAAGUUUUCAUUACAAGGUAGGACCUAAUUUGUUCAGUACAUAACAUUCUCAGGAUUUGUAACACUGAAAUGAU